CCGCUCGACCCGGCACGAGGCACAGCUCACAGUCACAGGGGAUGAGGAGAUGAGCGAGAGCUGCUAGGAGGAGCGACACCACCACAUGGCUCCUCCUCAGUGCGCCGUCUCGUCGCCGCCCGCCCCCACCAAUGCCGCCAAUGCCGCCGCCGCCGCCGCCGGCGGCGGAGGCAAGGGCAGGACGCAACUGGCGGUGGCGCAGGUGAAGAAGCUCUGCAAGCAGGGGCGGCUCGAGCAGGCGCGGCGGCUGCUGCUGGACGCGCUGCCGCGCCCGCCCCCGACGCUGCUCUGCAACGUGCUCCUCAUCGCCUACGUCGCCGCCGCGCUCCCGGACCACGCGCUCCGCCUCUACGCGCUCCUCAACCACGCCGCGCGCCCCGCGCCCCGCUCCGACCACUACACCUACUCCUGCGCGCUCACCGCCUGCGCCCGCUCCCGCCGCCUGCGCCUCGGGAGGUCCGUCCACGCGCACCUCCUCCGCCGCGCCCGCUCGCUCCCGGACACCGCCGUCCUCCGCAACUCGCUGCUCAACCUCUACGCCUCCUGCGCGAGGUACUGCCACGGCGGCGUCGACGUCGUCCGCAGGCUGUUCGACGCAAUGCCGAAGAAGAACGUCGUUUCGUGGAACACCCUGUUUGGCUGGUACGUCAAGACCGGGCGCCCCGAUGAAGCCCUGGAGAUGUUCGUGCGCAUGCUGGAGGACGGUGUCAGGCCUACGCCGGUCAGCUUCGUGAAUGUCUUCCCGGCUGCGGGGAGCGGCGAUCCCAGCUGGCCAUUCUUGCUCUAUGGUUUGCUGAUAAAGCAUGGGGUGGAGUAUGUCAAUGAUCUCUUCGUUGUCAGCUCAGCGAUCGGCAUGUUCUCUGAGAUUGGCGAUGUGCGGACAGCUCGGAUGGUGUUUGACCGUGCUGCCAAGAAGAACAUUGAGGUUUGGAACACGAUGAUCACUGGGUACGUGCAGAAUGGGCAGUUUUCUGAAGCCAUGGAUCUCUUUAUCCAGAUACUGGGGUCAAAAGAGGUUCCAUCAGAUGUUGUGACUUUCUUGUCAGCCGUCACAGCGGCCUCGCAGUCACAAGAUGUCAGGCUGGGUCAGCAACUGCAUGGCUACUUGAUGAAAGGAAUGCACAGCACACUGCCUGUGAUACUGGGUAAUGCGCUUGUCGUGAUGUACUCGAGAUGCGGCGAUGUCCAAACUGCAUUUGAACUGUUUGAUCGAGUGCCAGAGAAGGACAUUGUUUCCUGGAACACCAUGAUCACUGCUUUUGUCCAAAAUGAUUUUGACUUGGAGGGCCUGUUGCUCGUUUAUGAGAUGCAGAAAUCAGGUUUCAUUCCUGAUACCGUGACAUUGACUGCAGUGCUGUCUGCAGCAUCAAAUACAGGAGACCUUCAGAUUGGUAAACAGUCGCAUGGGUAUCUCAUCAGGCAUGGCAUUGAGGGCGAAGGCUUGGAGAGCUAUCUGAUAGACAUGUACUCCAAGUCUGGCCGCAUAGACAUGGCUCAGAGAGUAUUUGAUGGCUAUGGGAAUAACAGAGAUGAAGUCACUUGGAAUGCCAUGAUAGCAGGAUACACACAGGGUGGCCAGCCUGAACAGGCAGUCUUAGCAUUCCGGGCGAUGAUUGAGGCAGGUGUAGAGCCUACUUCAGUGACACUUGCUUCAGUACUUCCUGCGUGUGACCCCGUUGGAGGGGGUGUAUGUGCAGGGAAGCAGAUACAUAGUUUUGCGCUGCGCCAUUCUCUGGAUACCAAUGUCUUUGUAGGUACAGCUCUUGUUGACAUGUACUCCAAGUGUGGGGAGAUUUCUGCUGCAGAGAAUGUCUUUGGUGGCAUGACUGAGAAGACCACUGUCACCUAUACGACAAUGAUCUCCGGUCUUGGCCAGCACGGUUACGGCGAAAGAGCACUAUCCCUCUUCUACUCGAUGCGAGACAAGGGCUUAAAGCCUGACGCCGUGACCUUCCUGGCUGCCAUUUCAGCAUGUAAUUACUCUGGAUUCGUCGACGAAGGUCUUUCUUUGUACAGGUCAAUGGAAACAUUUGGGCUUUUAGCUACCCCUCAGCACCACUGCUGUAUUGUGGACUUGUUGGCUAAAGCCGGGAGGGUGGACGAAGCAUACGACUUUGUAGAAAGCCUGGGUGAGGAUGGGAACUUCAUCGCCAUCUGGGGAUCGCUUCUGGCAUCCUGCAAAGUGCAAGGCAAGAUGGAGUUGGCAGCAUGGGCGACUGAGAAGGUGCUCAACAUUGAGAAGCAGUAUGGUCAUGCAGGCUACAAUGUUUUGCUGUCGCAGCUAUUUGCUGCUGAAGGUAACUGGAGUAGCGCUGAUAGUCUGAGAAAGGAGAUGAGAUUGAGGGGGGUGAGGAAAGAGGUGGGUUCUAGUUGGAUCAAAGUCCAGACUGCAGCAUUGCAGGACAGAUCUGUGGAGAGGAACCAAAAGCAAAAUUUCCCCGAAAAUGAGCACGUGUUCUCGAUGCUGGAUGGGGAUACUUGCAGUACAGGCGCAAUCAUUUAACAGUUUAAGUACUUAUGGCACGGAUAGAUUGCAGAUUUGUUGAUAUCUGGAGAUUAGAAGGUGGUGAUUAGCUCAUACUGUCAAGGAUCAGAGCUCCUGUUACCUGCACUUAUGUCAUGAUUUGCCUUCUCCCAGAAUACAGCUCCUUUGGAGUCUUUCACUGGAUGAAACAUGAAAAGAUCCCCAGCCUGCGGGGAUGCCGCGAUGGUCAAAAGGUGAACAAGUGCAUCGAGACAACAUCUAUGCUUCCAUCGCAAUGAAGCAAGUUGCGAUCAAUAUCCGCAUCCAUCGGAACGAAACAAGAUGUUGAGAUCGAGACCAUAUGAUCUACUGGAUGAAGAACCAGCUGCAGCGUAGACAGUGUUACUUCUAAGACCUGACAUGUUAGCACUGAUGUUGCAGAGCUGACAAAAUCAGGCAAAAUGCAAUUGACAUUUUUGAAAGGGCAAAUAGAGUUGCGGAGAGAAGAACAAUCUGGAUGGUCAUAUACUUACAAGGUCGAACUUACUUCAUACAGAAACUCAUAACCGUAAUGCUGAACUCGCCUUUUCGCCAACCUUUUCCACGGCCUACUGUCCACAGCAGCAAGUAGCUCCUGCAGAAGAUACAAAAUUACAGACGCUACUCAACCCAAAUUUAUUAGCAGCAAGCAAGCCGCCAAUGGAAGACAACCUAGCUGCGACUCCAGUCCACCGACCUGUUCCUCGGCGGCGGUGACGAACUCCUGGACCAAGUGAAUGCCCGGGAUGCCGAGCUCCGACGAGGAGAGGGCCACCGGGGGAGCGGAGACGGCGACGGCGGCCUUGGGCGGGGCGGGCACCGAGUAGCGUAUGUGCAGCACGCGCCCGGAGAGGCGGCCGC